rfam:Triticum aestivum genome assembly, contig: Triticum_aestivum_CS42_TGACv1_scaffold_580207_7BL
CCUGGACUCCCUCCGUCCAAAAAUACUUAUCGGAAAAAUUGAUAAAAUGGAUGUAUCUAGAAUUAAAAUAUGUCUAGAUACAUCCAUCUCUUCGAUAAGUAUUUCCGGACGGAGGGAGUAUAAA